GAAAUAUUAGGUUAAAUCAAACUUACAGCUUGUCAGACUGUAGACCUUAUAAAUUCAUAAGAUAUUUCG
rnacentral:tRNA from 1 species